UUGUACAUCACGAUUAGGUCCGGCAUCAUUGAGCUGAGGACGAUUCGGCGAUCAUUAGUUUUUCCAAGCACGAACGGGACUCCGCACCCUAUAUAUAGGUAUGACAGCAGGCUAAGACAUCAUUAUCGAAGUAGACGCUGUCAGCACUCCUGUCUAGGCUGAACUCUAGAUUCAGGUUUUUGUGUUUUGUGUUUGUUUAACACGUCAACAUGUUCAAAUUGAUGGUAAUUCUCUGUAUCGCCGCUGUGAUGCUGGUGACCCCCGCAUUGUCUAAACCUCAAUUAUAUACCUACGGCUAUGCAGCACCAGCGUACUACGCAUCCUACAGCGCGCCCUUAGCGUACUCCUACCCAUACGCUUAUGCCUACACAUAUCCUUUAGCGUACAUCUAAUACUGAUAACAAUUUAACAAAUUUUUCAUUGCAGUAAUCCACCAUACCUUUUCGAUUUUAAAAUUUAAACAAUAGAGAAUUGAAAUUUCUAUAACUUUGGGAUGUUAUGAAGUUAAAUUGUUCUCAAAAUCGAUUAUGUCUUACAAAAAUCACCAUAACACAAUUAUUUUAAAUACUUUAAGUUGUAAUCUCAGUGCAUUGUAAUAUUAUUAUAUGAAACAUGUAAAUAAAGAAAUACAACCCA